rnacentral:lncRNA from 1 species
UUCGCCAUUUGAUGACCUUUCCAUUUCUUAUUCUAAGCAGACGAGCCUCACCGUAGAUCCGUUGACACCAUCUCACUCCCUGACAAUCAGAUGAGCCUCUGCCGCCCCAAUGACUGACCAGUCGCCACCGUCAGUCUCCCAGUCAUCCUCAAUCCGGGAGAGCACUCCGUUGGAGAACGAGCCACCAGAGCUUUCGAGCCCUCCUAUGAACCUCCGC